UAAGAAUGGAGCAUUCCUACCCUUACUCUGUUUAUUUUGGACGCAGUGUCUAGAAUAUUCACCUCUGCCCAUAGACUUUAGUACAAUUUAAUCCCAAACAUUUUUCAUAAACUCUUAUUCAAGGUAAAAUCAACACAAUCCAUCAAACCUUAUUUUUGUGCCUUAGGCAACCAUCCUGAAAUCCCUUUUUUCAAAGGUAAAAUCAACCAACACACAAACAUUUUCUACUCCAAACUACGA
rnacentral:lncRNA from 1 species